GUCUAUGACCAUGCUACCCUGAACAUGCCCAAUACUGGAAACUAAGCAGGGUUGAGCCUGAUUAGUACUUAGAUGGGAGAAGAGAAGCUGCCAAUGGCU
rnacentral:rRNA from 1 species